UACCCUGGUAGUCCACGCCGUAAACGAUGAGUGCUAAGUGUUGGAGGGUUUCCGCCCUUCAGUGCUGCAGCUAACGCAUUAAGCACUCCGCCUGGGGAGUACGACCGCAAGGUUGAAACUCAAAGGAAUUGACGGGGGCCCGCACAAGCGGUGGAGCAUGUGGUUUAAUUCGAAGCAACGCGAAGAACCUUACCAGGUCUUGACAUCCUUUGACCACUCUAGAGAUAGAGCUUCCCCUUCGGGGGCAAAGUGACAGGUGGUGCGUGGUUGUCGUCAGCUCGUGUCGUGAGAUGUUGGGUUAAGUCCCGCAACGAACGCAACCCUUAUUGUUAGUUGCCAUCAUUCAGUUGGGCACUCUAGCAAGACUGCCGGUGACAAACCGGAGGAAGGUGGGGAUGACGUCAAAUCAUCAUGCCCCUUAUGACCUGGGCUACACACGUGCUACAAUGGGAAGUACAACGAGUUGCGAAGUCGCGAGGCUAAGCUAAUCUCUUAAAGCUUCUCUCAGUUCGGAUUGCAGGCUGCAACUCGCCUGCAUGAAGCCGGAAUCGCUAGUAAUCGCGGAUCAGCACGCCGCGGUGAAUACGUUCCCGGGCCUUGUACACACCGCCCGUCACACCACGAGAGUUUGUAACACCCGAAGUCGGUGAGGUAACCUUUUUGGAGCCAGCCGCCUAAGGUGGGAUAGAUGAUUGGGGUGAAGUCGUAACAAGGUAGCCGUAUCGGAAGGUGCGGCUGGAUCACCUCCUUU
rnacentral:rRNA from 1 species